rnacentral:rRNA from 1 species
CCUACGGGUGGCUGCAGUGGGGAAUAUUGCACAAUGGGCGCAAGCCUGGUGCAGCCAUGCCGCGUGUGUGAAGAAGGCCUUCGGGUUGUAAAGCACUUUCAGCGGGGAGGAAGGCGGUGAGGUUAAUAACCUCAUCGAUUGACGUUACCCGCAGAAGAAGCACCGGCUAACUCCGUGCCAGCAGCCGCGGUAAUACGGAGGGUGCAAGCGUUAAUCGGAAUUACUGGGCGUAAAGCGCACGCAGGCGGUCUGUCAAGUCGGAUGUGAAAUCCCCGGGCUCAACCUGGGAACUGCAUUCGAAACUGGCAGGCUAGAGUCUUGUAGAGGGGGGUAGAAUUCCAGGUGUAGCGGUGAAAUGCGUAGAGAUCUGGAGGAAUACCGGUGGCGAAGGCGGCCCCCUGGACAAAGACUGACGCUCAGGUGCGAAAGCGUGGGGAGCAAACAGGAUUAGAUACCCCGGUAGUC